UCUCUGGUUUGUAAUUUGUAACCCAAAUCCAGUCUUAGACCUUGGAUGCAGUGUGCAUGACAUUUUCAAAGGUAGGUUAUGGAAGCAUGAUCUGCUUGACAUUUUUACAUGACUAUUAAUGUCAUGUUGGGAACAUACAAGUUUAGCAACAUAAUCUCAAUUUCAUGGCUUUAUCAAUAGAAAAAUCUUUCUAAUUCCUAAUUUAAAUCACUUCUUAUAUUUAAAGACCAUUGCAUUCUACCCUAUCUGUAGUGGGCAAAGAAUAUUAUAGUAUAUAUUUCCACACUCACUAUCACUUUACAUAUCUGAAGACUGUUUUCAGUGUGUCUUCAGAGUUUUCUUUAGGUGGAAUGAGCUCAGUUCUUUCUGCCUUAUCUCCUAAGCUGAUAUCUCUAAUAUCUCCUGAAUUAUCUCAAACAUGUGAACACAGUUUUCACAAGUGUAAUGUUCCAAAAUGUCACUACUUCACAUCUUCAGUGCUGCCUUCUGUCUUAUAUAUCCCAGUACAAUAUUUUCUGCUUUCAUUCCAGAUUGAUACUAUUCCAUUUGUUCCAUUUGUGACAAAACAUGCAACUGUUUUUCUGAGUACUGCUGCAUCAUGCUGGGAAAAUGCACCUGGUUUUGCUAUUAUUUUUUGCUAUUCACGAUUCACUGUCAAAAUGAAAGGAUUUGGCACAUAGGAUUCUACCUUAGGUCUAGCACUAGUAAAAACUCCCAUUAAUAUUUUCGGUAACACAGAAGAGAGGAUUAUUAAAUAGCAUUCAGCCAUCAGCUGCAGAGGAUCUCUUAACUGCCUGUGAAAGGGUAGGAUGUAAAUUGAGAAUCAUCAUGUCAAGUUAAGAAAUCAGUAUGAAAAGUAUAUGCUACUCAAAAAAGAAAAGCAAGAGCUACUUCAUUUAGGUAGGAAUAAUUAAAUACAAAAUACUAAGAGUGGAGAAAUCAGACAGCACUGUGAAACAGAUCACAGAGUUAGGAUAUAUGACUUUAUUGCUCAUUCCUUUUCCCAAGACCUGUUACUUUGUUAUAGAAAGAAUUUUGUUUCAUUUCAUACAGUUUUACCUAGAUUAAUCAUUGGUCCUUGCUAUUUCUUUCUUGCUCUCUUCUUGUUAUUUGUUUAAUUGAAAUUAACAGAAAAAUAAUGGAAUAAAUAAUUAAACAUGGAAAAAUGCUGAUCUUUCCAAGGCUAUUCCCUUUUCUUAAGAUGGCUUUUAUCUUUGCCAGUCUUCUGUCUUUCAGGAUUUCUCAAAUAUCUAGUCAGUCUGAGAUUAACAGCAAUUUUUAAAAUAUAAAGCAGAACGGAAAUAUGUGCCAGUCUCCUUAAAUAAACUGGCUUUCCUGCAGGGACAUUUCAUGCAUAUCUCAGACUGUCUCUCAAUGUUCUGUAGCAUUUAAGAAACAUUUUUCUUGGUGUCAAAGAUAGUAAAAUAUUAGUUAUUAUUGUGAAAAAGCACAUUUUCACCAUACCUAUCAACACCAUAAAACUUGUGUAUUGAAGCAGAAUCUCAUUUAAGAAGUUGUGCAGACAGAAGGAUGAAUGUCUGCUGUUAGCACCUGUGAAUUUGACAGAUAUUCAGAUACGAAGUUGUGUGGUGAUCUACUUUCACAAUAUAACGUAACAGUAAAUUCAGAUGCCUCAGAUUUGAGGCCCAAAAUUGCAGGGUUUGGAAUUCACAUGUGAUGUUCAGAGACAGAAGACACUAAUUAAGGUAGUAAAAGACACUGUGCAUAAAAUGGGUUUAUACAAUUAUGGGCUGUGAAGCCUUGGACCAGAAUGCUGUCAGGCAAUUGGUUUAUCUGGAGACUCCUCCCACUUUUAAAAUAUAAAUAUAUUGGUUUCAUGCCUCACCUAGGAAUUCAAACAGGCUGAAUAUAUCUUUGCCUUGCAGCACCAUUAAAUUAAUGUUCCUACGAGUGGAGUUUCUAAACUCAAAGUUAUCUUUUUAAAGAAGACCCUGGCUGCCUAGUGGGGGAAAAUGGAAGAUUUCAUGCAGUUUUGUAGUUAAAAGCAUAUUUUUAUUUACUUAACUGAAGUCCUAAACCCGAUAACAAAGAAUACUGAUAAAUACAACCAAAGAAUUGCAAACAGUGUAAUGUGUUUGGGUUAAAUUCAGGCCUGACAGCCCUGCAGGAUGAAAUAAUCCACAUAGAAUAAUUUUGGAAUGGGUAAAGGCAUAGACACUCCCCAGUGCAGUUUCUGGAUUUUAGUGUGGAGGUACCAUUUGUUGGAGCAGAAGGGUAAUUAAGUUUCUGUUCCUCCUCGCUUGCACCAAGGAGAUUAGCAGGGGAAUCUCAUUCUUCUCAGUUUUGCAAGGCAGACACUUUUCUGAUAAGAAUUGAAUUUGCUUAUUUCAGACAGUCUGGUAAACAACCAUCAGAGGACAACUUUUCUCAGCUGCUGUGUCAGUCUCACUGCAGUCUGGGCACACCUUGCCACAUUCAGCUAUCUUGGUUGCUCAGGAGUUUAUAGGUCAACAAUUUAUGUGACCCAGUCAGCAAGAAAUGCAUGUGUAGCAUCUACGUCUUUGGAUCAAUUAGCUGGCUGAUGUCAAGCAAGUGAUUUUUUUCCCUUUAAACAGAGGUGUUUGCCAUGGAGUUAGAACAGCAGUCCCUUCUGGAAAUGGCUUGGGAAUAUCUCCUUGUAUGGAGGAAGCAAGAGCAUUUGUGAGAUUUUGAAGACAAAAGAGUGAAAGAUGAAGUGCUAAAUCUGAGACUGUGGCUGUUAAAAUGAGCAGCUGAAUACCAGAGAGCAAGGAUUACUGCAUUGCCUAACAGACUGCUGCAGAACCUCUGAGCCUUUUAUUUCCAGUAAUAAAAAAGAAAUCCACGUGAGUCUCAACGUGUGGAUGUAAUUUUGUUUAUUUGGGGAAAAGAAGCGUUAAAAUAACAAUUUUCGAAAGCAACAGUUUUUCCUAAAGGAAAAAGAACUCAGUUUUUAUACAUAAAAUCUAUAUCCUAUACUCUGUGUUUGUCUGGUUUGCUUAUUCCAGAUCCCUUCAGUGGAUAAUGCUGCAUCCUCAGCUCCCACACCCUCCACCCUGGUCUCUGUGAUAUACGUUAUUUCAAAGGAGCACAGCUGGGUGCUGGACUGUAAUUUCUCAUGCAGCCAGGGUCAGAUCCAUUAGUAUAUGUGGAGGUUAGGACCAAGACCAUGAAAGUAGAUGGGGAGCUAAUAGACAGACUGGUGUUCCUGCUGUGUUCACAGGGGCUUAAACCAGGGAGAAAACAGUCAGGCACAUCCAUAUUAUUUUCGCCUUUUGCUUCGUGAUUUGCAGUAGCCUCAUUCAUAAAUGACAAAGGAACAGCUCCCUGAUGUGAGGUCCUCAUACCACAGAGAGCUGUAAUGAGUUUGGAACAAGAUGGAGAUAAGGAAGACUUUUUAGUGAUUACUCAGACAAAUCUCUGAGUACAAAUCAGAGAUGCGCUGAAGGAAGGGUGUAUCUUUCCAUCACUCUCCAUCACUUAAACAUCUGAGGAUACUUAAGGUAUUCUCACGGUAUUAUGUAAGAAGAACUCAGUAAGACAAAAGUGUCCUAAAUGCAGCUUUAUAGAUUUUUUUCCUUUCACUGUAUGUCAGAAACUUCUGUAAUUUGACAGCCACUGGCAAUGAUUAAUGGCUAGCAAUAUGGCCAGGGGCAAUGUGUGUUUCAAAAUCAGUACCAGGAAAGACUGUGUGAUCUUGGAAGUCUUUGGCUGUGGAACUGUCUUGCAAAAUGAAAAAUAAAUAUUUUGCCUGUGUGUUUGAUGAAGAGCUCCAAAUACAUAGCUGGAAUAUAAAUGAAGGUGAGAAGACAGUGAAAACCAGCAGAAUAUUUACCUUGGAAUGUG